AUGAACGCUGGCGGCGUGCCUAAUCCAUGCCAGUCGAGCGAACAGACGAGGAGCUUGCUCCUCUGACGUUAGCGGCGGACGGGUGAGUAACACGUGGAUAACCUACCUAUAAGACUGGGAUAACUUCGGGAAACCGGGGCUAAUACCGGAUAAUAUAUUGAACCGCAUGGUUCAAUAGUGAAAGACGGUUUUGCUGUCACUUAUAGAUGGAUCCGCGCCGCAUUAGCUAGUUGGUAAGGUAACGGCUUACCAAGGCAACGAUGCGUAGCCGACCUGAGAGGGUGAUCGGCCACACUGGAACUGAGACACGGUCCAGACUCCUACGGGAGGCAGCAGUAGGGAAUCUUCCGCAAUGGGCGAAAGCCUGACGGAGCAACGCCGCGUGAGUGAUGAAGGUCUUCGGAUCGUAAAACUCUGUUAUUAGGGAAGAACAAAUGUGUAAGUAACUAUGCACGUCUUGACGGUACCUAAUCAGAAAGCCACGGCUAACUACGUG
rnacentral:rRNA from 1 species